AAUAAAAAUGGCCGCAGAGGGGACCAGGUCUGUGCUGUACGUGUGUCUGGGUAAUAUUUGUCGCUCACCUAUAGCAGAAGCAGUUUUUAGGAAACUUGUAGCUGAUCAAAAUAUUUCAGAUAAGUGGAGGAUAGACAGUGCAGCAACAUCUUCAUAUGAAAUAGGAAACCCCCCUGAUUAUCGAGGGCAGACUUGCAUGAAGAAACAUGGCAUUACCAUGAAUCAUAUUGCCAGGCAGAUUACCAAAGAAGAUUUCCUGACUUUUGAUUAUAUACUCUGUAUGGAUGAAAGCAAUCUGAGAGAUUUUAAUAGAAAAGUUAAUCAAGUUAAAAACUGCAAAGAUAAAAUUGAACUUCUUGGAAGCUACGAUCCACAGAAACAACUUAUUAUUGAAGAUCCAUAUUAUGGAAAUGACUCUGACUUUGAGUCAGUAUAUGAGCAAUGUUUGAGGUGCUGCAAAGCAUUUUUGGAAAAAUCUCAUUAAGGCUCACACUCAUUUGUUGCUAAAGGACAACAGUGAUUGACAUCGACUUUAAAAUGAUACAAUAGAAGAUAACUGAAGUCAUUGUGAAAGGUUCAAGAAAAAUGUAUUUUGGUGUGUCAGCAGUCAUUUGAUGGCAAUAACUUAAUGAAGAACAAAUAUUCUUUCUGUUCAUCUUUAUCAUCUUUUAAUAUUUUGUCUGUCUAUUAAAAUAAAUAUAACCUCU